rnacentral:rRNA from 1 species
UACGUAGGUGACAAGCGUUGUCCGGAUUUACUGGGCGUAAAGAGCGCGCAGGCGGUCGAUCAAGUCGAGUGUGAAAGCCCCCGGCUCAACUGGGGAGGGUCAUUCGAUACUGAUCGACUCGAAGGCAGGAGAGGGUAGUGGAAUUCCCGGUGUAGUGGUGAAAUGCGUAGAUAUCGAGAGGAACACCUGCGGCGAAGGCGGGUUGCUGGGCCGACACUGACGCUGAUGCGCGAAAGCCAGGGGAGCGAACGGG